GGCCCCGUGGCGCAGCCUGGAUAGCGCGGCUGGCUUCGGACCAGCAGGUCGGGGGUUCGAAUCCCUCCGGGGUCA
rnacentral:tRNA from 1 species